rnacentral:rRNA from 1 species
CAGUAGCCACGGGAAUACGUAGGGCGCAAGCGUUGUCCGGAAUUAUUGGGCGUAAAGAGCUCGUAGGCGGUCUGUCGCGUCUGGUGUGAAAUCCCGAGGCUCAACCUCGGGCUUGCAUCGGGUACGGGCAGACUAGAGUGCGGUAGGGGAGACUGGAAUUCCUGGUGUAGCGGUGGAAUGCGCAGAUAUCAGGAGGAACACCGAUGGCGAAGGCAGGUCUCUGGGCCGCAACUGACGCUGAGGAGCGAAAGCAUGGGGAGCGAACAGGAUUAGAUACCCCAGUAGUCCCUGUCUCUUAUAC